GACGGAGGAUGCAAGCGUUAUCCGGAAUUAUUGGGCGUAAAGCGUCCGCAGGUGGACAUACAAGUCUGCUGUCAAAGUGCAGAGCUUAACUCUGUAAAGGCGGUGGAAACUGUAGGUCUUGAGUAUGGUAGGGGUAGAGGGAAUUCCCGGUGUAGCGGUGAAAUGCGUAGAUAUCGGGAAGAACACCAGUGGCGAAAGCGCUCUACUGGGCCAUAACUGACACUGAGGAACGAAAGCUAGGGGAGCGAAAGGG
rnacentral:rRNA from 1 species